UUAAGUGAAAUCUGCUCAACAAUUCUGAGUGUCUCCGUGUCUCUGUGAUGGAUAAGAAACAUUCAGACCUCUGGAAAGGAUGGCAGAGGAGUAUUAAAAAAAGGGUCUGCAUAGAUGUGCACAGACUGAUGAUGCUCUGUUGACACAUGCCACGUGGACACACCCAGUUGUAUAUGGUUCCCAGAGCCCUGGCUGUUUUUGCACCUCUUUCUUCCCUGCUCGAGAAACCAUAUUGAGAGUGACUGAGUGGGUUGCUGGGAGAAUUACCAACUAUAAAUGUAAAAGAGGCAGAAGAGAUACUGGCUGAAGACUCUGAAGUCAGACAGCCAGGGUUCUGGCUUCUCCACUUACUAGCUGCUGCUGUGUCAGAGAUGGGACAUUUGGCAAGACUCCCAGAACACUCAUUCCAUCACCCUGAG